GAGCUGGGCCAGCAGGCAGAGCUUCGGGCCUUUCCUUAUCUGAGCUUUGGGUGUUGCAACGUCUCUUAGCUUAGCGCGUGCUGCCCGGGUCCCCUACAGUCUGGGUCGUGAGUGGGCCGCCUUAGGAGUCGAACUGGGGCUUUUUUGCAGAGAUGAGGGAGGGGGAUCUACGUGGAUGGUAGCUGUUAAUUCACUGCCCUGCUCUUUACCUAAAACCUCGCCACACUCCCAUGUAAUGUCUCAGGAUGCAGCUACUAAGAGUAUCUGUGACUCUCAAUAUUAUAAACAAACAAAACGGGGCAGAGAAGCAUCCGGACACAAUGACAGCCGGAGACCACUUUUUUGGAAUAGCACGGCUUUAUUCCCUGGAUGAGUUGAGUGCACCUAACAGGGCUCGGGGACUUACACAGGAAGUUCAAGCUUUUUAUUGGUUCGGUUCGGUUCCAUUGGGAGCAGAGGGUUUGGGAAACUCCAUAUCCGGUCUUCUUGUUUCUGCAGGUAGAGCGGAAUUAACGGUCAUGCUGUGGUUAAGAACUCCAUAUGACUAGGCGCCUGCACAACCUGGCUCAAUUUCUCAUAAACCUCAAGUCAUGAGCUAAACCUCAGCUGCAGUUAAGUGACCACAAGAGCCUUGAGCCCGUUAUGUCAGGCAACAGACAGACACGUUUGUGUUAUUGAAGCUGGCAUUCCCAACCUGUGCCCCAAGUCAGGCCCAGCCCCCUGUUCUCAGUAAGCCAAUAAAGAAGAGCCAAAUAUUGGUGAAAAGCAGAAAAGAUGCAUUCAGUGUCUGUACAUUGGAAAGUGUUAACGC
rnacentral:lncRNA from 1 species